GGAAGGAUCAUUAACGUGCUCUAAAAAAAUCCUUUGUCGACUGUGAACUUGUUUGUUGGACUUUUAAAAGUUUGUGAUGAUCUUUCUUUCGGGAAAUUUUUGAUCAAACGAAACCACUUUAACCAAAUUAAACCCUAUUUCUAUUCUCAUCAAACUUUUUGACUUUUGUCAAAAAAAAUAUAAACUGACGACUUUCAACGAUGGAUCUCUAGGCUCGUGUACCGAUGAAGAACGCUGCGAACUGCGAUACGUAAUGCGAAUUGCACAACUCAGUGAAUCAUCGAAUCUUUGAACGCAUAUUGCGCUGCGACAGUCAAUGUCGUAGCAUGUCUGGUCGAGUGUCGUUUCCAAACCUCACAUUUUGCAAAUUUACUUUUGCAUGUGACACUUUAGUUGAGAGUUCAGUGCCUUUUUUCUUUAUUGAAAGAAAGUAUCGUCUCUUUAAAUUGAAAUGACACAAUUUAUCGAAAAAAUGGACUAGUAAUCUCAUUUUUUUGUUAAAAUUAUUAAGUCCCAUGUGGUAAACACCUCGUGGUUCAACUUUGAUAGUUUUAGCAUGACUUUGGGUUCUAUUUUUUUGGUGUCGAUUCGAAAAACACAUCCAUAUAUUUAUAUGUGUGUAUUUGAAGGUACUCUUUUGUACUGACAAAGACAUAUGUAUAUUAUAUUAAAACUUAACUUUUUUCGGACUGACCUCGGCUCAGACAAGGCUACCCGCUGAAUUUAAGCAUAUAAUUAAGCGGAGGAAAAGAAACUAACAAGGAUUCCCCUAGUAACGGCGAGUGAAGAGGGAAGAGCUCAAGCUUAAAACCUGUGCGCAAGCACCGGAUUGUAGCCUAAAGAAGGAGUGUCCUGGCAAACGGUGACCUAAAUGCUUAGGAAUAAGCUGCCAAAGAGGGUGAGAGCCCCGUUCAUGGUUGCCGACCUUGUCUAUAGUGAUACCCUUUCAUCGAGUCAGGUUGCUUGAGAGUGCAGCCUAAAGUGGGUGGUAUACUUCAUCUAAAGCUAAAUAUUGACACGAGACCGAUAGCGAACAAGUACCGUGAGGGAAAGAUGAAAAGAACUUUGAAAAGAGAGUUAAACAGUGCGUGAAAUCGUUGAAAGGGAAGCUGAUGGGUGCAGUGUCUCGUACGGUUAGCAUUUUAAUCUAAACUUGUUGAAGGUUUUUGUAAGCCAGUGUUAAAGCGGUUUGCAGGAAUUCAGAUGCAAGGAUGGGUGCACUAUGCUGACUGGGGCCUCUGAAUGCGUUAGGCGAGCAGGAAAAAACUUAAACACGGUAGAUUUGCUCCGGCUUUUUGAAGUGUCGAGGAAAACUGCUUGCUUGACGGAGGAUUAAGAGCUCGGCUCAGCCGUAUCUCUGAUGUGUUGGUUGGUAUUUGACUCUUUGCACUUCUUUGAAAUUCCUGGGGUUAGAGUGCUGCCAAUAUGUUAGGGGUACAGAGUUCUCUAGAUUCAGAGUAAAUGUUCUCAUCAGACCCGUCUUGAAACACGGACCAAGGAGUCUAACAUGUAUGCGAGUCGUAGGGUGGAAAACCUGAAGGCGUAAUGAAAGUAAAGGCAGACUCGGUCUGCUAAGGUGGGAUCCGGACCCUUCGGGGAAAGGUGCACCAUCAACCGAUCAUGAUCCUCGGUGAUUGAUUUGAGUGUAAGCAUAUCUGUUGGUACCCGAAAGAUGGUGAACUAUGCCUGUAUAGGGUGAAGCCAGUGGAAACUCUGGUGGAGGCUCGUAGCGAUACUGACGUGCAAAUCGUUCGUCAAAUAUGGGUAUAGGGGCGAAAGACUAAUCGAACCAUCUAGUAGCUGGUUCCCUC
rnacentral:misc_RNA from 1 species